rnacentral:lncRNA from 1 species
UAAGGAUUCUGAUAAGAAUCUAAAUUCAACAGCAAAUCAAAAACGGAAUCAACACUUUGUGGAAUAAUUUUCUGAUUAUAUUAAAUGAAAAGCUGAAAAAAAUUACAAUGAAAGUAACUAAAUUAACUAGAAAAACUGAUAAGAGAGGUCGCCAUACAGAAGAGAAUUAGAGAAAAAAAGAAAAAGAUAGAGCAAAAGAGAGAAGGAAUUUGGGGGAGAAUGAAAUUAUAGGAAAUUCGUUGCCUUCUCUCUCUUGCCAUUGGGUAUUUAUAACAAACUAACAACUGUUGACGUGGCGCGAUCGUGACCCUUCCUCCUUAAUAAUGAUCUUCUAAUCCUCGUCCUUAGUUUAUAAUUAGCUGAGCAUUCUCAAUGACUUAACUCAGCUUCAAAUCCCCUUCACUACAUCUUAUUUACUAUUAACUUUGGACCUCUAAUUCAUGACAUAAAUCUUUGGGGGGUGCAGUCUGAAUUCCCCCUUCACAUUCUCAUUGACCCAAAUCCCAUAAUAAAGAAGGUAUUUCGAACAAUAAUUAAAACUUGAAUGUCAGUUGACAACUUAAAUUUAUAAAGAAGUCAUAUGUCCAACUUUCAACUUUCCCUUUCUAUUUGAUAUACUUUUUAUCGUGAGAGAUCUUUUCUUGAAACAAGAUUUGCUGGUAGAUAUUUGUAGGUUGAUAUUAGUUUGUUUUCACAUCAUGCCUUCAAAAAUUCCCAGCAUAAAAUGAUCGAGGUAAUUUGUGAAUUGAAUUCUUAGCUUGAGUGCUCCUCCGAUGAUUCAAUAUAUUGAGGAUGGUGCCACCUUGGGGUUGAAAUCCUUCCUCCCCUGGGAAGCUCAUAUUGUCCCAAGAACAUAAGUGAUAGCCUUUUCUUUUCUUCCUUUCCUGCAUAAAAGUUAUUCAACCUUUCACUUUUUGUAUUUAUAGCCUGAGAUAUUAUAGGGUCAUUGAGUCGUAUUUUUACUCUUUUUCCCUCCUACCGCUGUUGGGGUUUUUAAUUAAACCAAAAAGAGGGGUAAAUAAUGGAAAAAGAAAUAGAAGAAAAUAAAAUUUUGAAUUAGUUCUUUUACAAAGGAACUUUGUCCCUUGUUAGAUAAGAAGAUGAAAAUUUUUGUGCUUAUAUAUAGAAGAAUUUCUUCUAGCUCUUGAAGAUUUAAGAAAAGAUCAAGCGUAGCAGUGUCAUCGUUAUCGCUCGAUCGGCUCGGCUUCGCUUCAGAUAUGAAUUUGGAUUUGGAUUUGGU